AUUGAACGCUGGCGGCAAGCCUAACACAUGCAAGUCGAACGAGUGGCGGACGGGUGAGUAAUGUCUGGGAAACUGCCUGAUGGAGGGGGAUCACUACUGGACACGGUAGCUAAUACCGCAUACCAUCGGAUGUGCCCAGAUGGGAUUAGCUAGUAGGUGGGGUAAAGGCUCACCUAGGCGACGAUCCCUCGCUGGUCUGAGAGGCUGACCAGCAACACUGGAACUGAGACACGGGCCAGACUCCUACGUGAGGCAGCAGUGGGGAAUAUUGCACAAUGGGCGCAAGCCUGAGGCAGCCAGGCCGCGUGUAUGAAGAAGGCCGUCGGGUUGUAAAGUACUUUCAGCGGGGAGGCGUUACCCGCAGAAGAAGCACCGGCUAACUCCGUGCCAGAAGCCGCGGUAAUUC
rnacentral:rRNA from 1 species